GAGAGUGUGGUGUAACUGGAUAACAUCUCAGUCUACGAAACUGUAGCUUGCUUCCCGAAGGGUAGAUUUGAGGGUUCGAUUCCCUCCGCUCUCG
rnacentral:tRNA from 3 species